UGGCGAGGGACAGCGUACGCCUUAGAUUAUUUAUUGUCUGUUUUUGAAGAAUUUAACACAAACAUGGAUAUCAGACCAAAUCAUACAAUUUAUAUCAACAAUAUGAAUGACAAAAUUAAAAAGGUAGAAUUGAAGAGAUCCCUCUAUGCCCUGUUUUCUCAGUUUGGUCAUGUGGUGGACACUGUGGCUUUAAAGACAAUGAAGAUGAGGGGGCAGGCCUUUGUCAUAUUUAAGGAACUGGGCUUACCCACGAAUGCUUUGAGACAGUUACAAGGAUUUCCAUUUUAUGGUAAACCAAUGUGAAUACAGUAUGCAAAAACAGAUUCGGAUAUAAUAUCUAAAAUGCGUGGCACUUUUGCUGACAAAGAAAAGAAAAAAGCCAAAGCUGUGGAACAGACUGCAACGACCACAAACAAAACGCCUGGCCAGGGAACUCCAAAUUCAGCCAAUAGCCAAGGAAAUUCAAUACCAAAUCCUCAGGUCCCUGAUUACCCUCCAAACUAUAUUUUAUUCCUUAAUAACUUACCAGAAGAGACUAAGGAGAUGAUGUUAUCCAUGCUGUUUAAUCAGUUCCCUGGCUUCAAGGAAGUACGUCUAGUACCAGGGAGGCAUGACAUUGCUUUUGUUGAAUUUGAAAAUGAUGGGCAGGCUGGAGCUGCCAGGGAUGCUUUACAGGGAUUUAAGAUCACACCAUCCCAUGCUAUGAAGAUCACCUAUGCCAAGAAAUAACAUUUGGGAUAGUUGUCUUUAAAGGACUUGGUAUUAUGUGUUUGUUUUGAUAGCAUUUAGUUGGGUCAUUUUAAUAGUUAGAGAUUAGGGGGAGUGAAAGUGAAAUUUUUGUGAAGGACUUAAACUAGUGUUUCUUUAGCCUUGGUGAACUAUGAAAUAUGAAGGCCUUAAUUUUGUACAAUAAACUUUUAUUUGUAUUCUGUGUAAAAAAA